rnacentral:rRNA from 1 species
GAUGAACGCUAGCGAUAGGCCUAACACAUGCAAGUCGAGGGGCAGCACAUGAAGUAGCAAUACGGAUGGUGGCGACCGGCGCACGGGUGGGUAACGCGUAUGCAACCUGCCUACAACAGGGGAAUAACCCGUUGAAAGACGGACUAAUACCCCAUAACACAGGGAUCCCGCAUGGGAAUAUUUGUUAAAGAUUUAUCGGUUGUAGAUGGGCAUGCGUUCCAUUAGCUUGUUGGUGAGGUAACGGCUCACCAAGGCAACGAUGGAUAGGGGAACUGAGAGGUUUAUCCCCCACACUGGUACUGAGACACGGACCAGACUCCUACGGGAGGCAGCAGUGAGGAAUAUUGGUCAAUGGACGCAAGUCUGAACCAGCCACGUCGCGUGAAGGAAGACGGCCCUACGGGUUGUAAACUUCUUUUGUAAGGGAAUAAAGUGUAGUACGUGUACUAUUUUGCAUGUACCUUACGAAUAAGGAUCGGCUAACUCCGUGCCAGCAGCCGCGGUAAUACGGAGGAUCCGAGCGUUAUCCGGAUUUAUUGGGUUUAAAGGGUGCGCAGGCGGGAGAUUAAGUCGGCGGUGAAAUUUUGCAGCUCAACUGUAAAAGUGCCUUCGAAACUGGUUUCCUUGAGUGUGGAUGAAGUAGGCGGAAUUUGUGGUGUAGCGGUGAAAUGCAUAGAUAUCACGAGGAACUCCGAUUGCGCAGGCAGCUUACUAAACCAUAACUGACGCUCAGGCACGAAGGCGUGGGGAUCAAACA